GUUUCUGGUUGGAGGGUAAAGUCUUUUAAAACAAAUUGUUUUUCCCUGGCUUUGGUAUUAAUAUAAUUGCAGCCGUCUUUCUUGAUUCAGGAGGAAAGCCACCUGGACCAGCUGCUGGACCAGAGGGGAUGUCAUCGAUCCUUCCUGUAGCUCUGCCAUUGUAAUUGUUUUAUUACCUUCGCAUUGAAAAUGUGGAAGGUUAUGUUUUGAUCGCCGUGUAUUUAUUUAUUUAUUUGUAUGCGUGUUACUCGCAUAACUCGAGAAGUAUGAAACCGAAUUGCAUGAAAUUUAGUGGGAUGCUUGGUUAUUAUGCGGGGACCAUUUGAUGAGAUUUUGGGAUUGAUCGGGUCAAAGGUCAAGGUCUAGGUCAUGAAAAGGUCAAAAUCUUCUUUUUACCAUAGCGCUGUAGUGAAUGUCAUAUCAUAAUUCACCCUUGUUCCUGGUGUAGUUCUUGACACAGUUAUUAAUGUAAGGAGUCACACACAUCGGUGUGACUGUUCCGGGAUCGCGGUCCCUUUAAGUGUUGUGUUGCUGUUUGGGACGUCAGCCCCAUGCGGGUUUGGUAUCUGGGCAGCGCCAUCUUGGGUUCAUUCGUUUUUGUGUUACGGAAUAAACGAGACACACACUUGUGUGCUCAACUUGA